GAUGAACGCUGGCGGCGUGCCUAAUACAUGCAAGUCGAGCGAACAGACGAGGAGCUUGCUCCUCUGACGUUAGCGGCGGACGGGUGAGUAACACGUGGAUAACCUACCUAUAAGACUGGGAUAACUUCGGGAAACCGGAGCUAAUACCGGAUAAUAUAUUGAACCGCAUGGUUCAAUAGUGAAAGACGGGUUUGCUGUCACUUAUAGAUGGAUCCGCGCCGCAUUAGCUAGUUGGUAAGGUAACGGCUUACCAAGGCAACGAUGCGUAGCCGACCUGAGAGGGUGAUCGGCCACACUGGAACUGAGACACGGUCCAGACUCCUACGGGAGGCAGCAGUAGGGAAUCGUCCGCAAUGGGCGAAAGCCUGACGGAGCAACGCCGCGUGAGUGAUGAAGGUCUUCGGAUCGUAAAACUCUGUUAUUAGGGAAGAACAAAUGUGUAAGUAACUAUGCACGUCUUGACGGUACCUAAUCAGAAAGCCACGGCUAACUACGUG
rnacentral:rRNA from 1 species